rnacentral:rRNA from 1 species
GUAUAAAUAGUAUACAGUGAAACUGCGAAUGGCUCAUUAAAACAGUUAUAGUUUAUUUGAUAAUUGAAUACUACAUGGAUAACCGUGGUAAUUCUAGAGCUAAUACAUGCGUUAAAACCCGACUUUUUGGAAGGGUUGUAUUUAUUAGAUACCAAACCAAUAUUCCUUCGGGUCUAUUGUGAUGAUUCAUAAUAACUGAUCGAAGCUGGGCCUGCCCAGCUAAAUCAUUCAAGUUUCUGCCCUAUCAGCUUUCGAUGGUAGUGUAUUGGACUACCAUGGCAGUCACGGGUAACGGGGAAUUAGGGUUCGAUUCCGGAGAGGGAGCCUGAGAAACGGCUACCACUUCUAAGGAAGGCAGCAGGCGCGUAAAUUACCCAAUCCUGACUCAGGGAGGUAGUGACAAGAAAUAACAACUCGGGGACUUCACGUCUUACGAGAUUGCAAUGAGAACAAUUUAAAAACCUUAACGAGGAACAAUUGGAGGGCAAGUCUGGUGCCAGCAGCCGCGGUAAUUCCAGCUCCAAUAGCGUAUAUUAAAGUUGUUGCAGUUAAAAAGCUCGUAGUUGAACUUAUGGCGAUUGCAUAAGCUGGCUUCGGUCGUUUAUGUGGUCGUCAUCCGCUUGGGAACCCCGUUCGGUCUUCAUUGGUCGGCGGGAGGAUCAGGCAUUUUACUUUGAAAAAAUAAGAGUGUUCAAGGCAGGCAAUCGCCAUGAAUACACAAGCAUGGAAUAAUGGAAUAGGACUGUGAUCCAUUUUAUUGGUUAUUGGAUUACAGUAAUGAUUAAUAGGGACAGUUGGGGGCAUUAGUAUUUAAUUGUCAG